ensembl:lncRNA
CUCCUGGCUACAGGAGUCAUGAAAUGAUGCCCUUCCCCUGGUCCCCUAAACAGGCAACACUAUUUACUCCUUUUCUCUAGUCAUGGGAAACAUUUACAAAAGGUCAGGGCCUGAUGAGCUCCAUACACAAGCACAACUGCAUUUACCCCUUAUAGGAGCACUAUCUCCUGGCUACAGGAGUCAUGAAAUGAUGCCCUUCCUCUGGUCCCCUAAACAGGCAACACUAUUUACUCUGUUCUCUAGUCAUGCGAAACAUUUACAAAGGUCAGGGCCUGU